CCGCCUCGGCCUCCCAAAGUGCUGGGAUUCCAGGCCUGAGCCACCGCGCCCGGCCUCAGAGUUUUCUAAGAAGUGCCCAGAGAGGUAGAAGACCACGCCUGCUAAAGAUAAAGGGAAAUGUGAAGAUAUGGGGGCAAAGGCGUUUAUGAAAGAGAAAUGAAAACCUAUAUCCCUCCUAAAGGGGAGACAGAAAAAGAAGUGCAAGGACUCCAAUGCACCCAAGAGCUCUCCUUCGGCCUUUUUCUUGUUCUGCUUUAAGUACGGCCCGAAAAGCAAAGGAGAACAUCCUGGCCUGCCCGCUGGUGACGUCGGGAGGGACUGGGAGAGAUGUGGAGUGACUGCUGCAGGUGACAAGCAGCCUCAUGAAAAGAAGGCCGCGGUUCUGGGGUCGCGGCCUUGCUCCCGCUGUGCGGGGAAAGAAUCCAGACCCUUCCACGCGCGCGUGGGCGCGGGGGCCCCGAAAUGCUCCCGGUUCCGCGCUAGGUCUCCGCCGGGGCAGGACCCGGAGCCAUGGGUGGCACCAGCACCCGCUGCGUCGCCUUCCAGGGGGCCGAGAAUGAGAGCAUCACCGUGGUGAAGGGCACCCGCUUUGGGAAAAUGUGACUGAUCGAAUGAAGGAAUCCUCUCCAUCCGGUUCGAAGCCUCAGCGGUGUCUGGUGCUUGUGGCGCCUCCGUUUCUGAUGAAGAAUUGAAAAGAAGAGCAGCUGAGGAGCGGGCACUGGAGCAAGCCGAGAAAGAAUCUGAAGAUCGGAAACGACUAAAGCAAGCCAAAGAGCUGGGCUGAGAGAGGGCUCUGCCAAUGGGCAGUUAACCAGAGCCAUCCUGCGGGCGAGGACAUCAAGCGAGGGGGAAGGCGCUAAGGCAAAGCACCUGGCUAGGCAGCUGGAAGAGAAGACCCAGUGCUAAAGAAGCAGGAUGCAUUCUACGAAGAACAGCUGGCUAGACUGGAGGAGAGGAGCUCAGAGUUCUACAAAGUCACCACUGAACAAUAUCAGAAAGCUGCUGAAGAGGUAGAAGCAAAGUUCAGGCGGUCUCAUGAGUCUCAUCCAGUCUGUGCUGAUCUGCAGGUUACCGUGAGAACACCCACCAGACCCUCAAAUGCUCCUCUCUGGCCACUCAGUAUAUGCACUGUGUCAAUCAUGCCAAACAGAGCAUGCUUGAGAAGGGAGGAUAAAAACUUUCAGAACGAGCAAAACACCAUCAACGUUAAUUCCAGAGAUGGAACAUUUUUUUUUUUUUUCCUAGUAAGAAAAUAACCCAUUUGAAGAGAAGACCACUAAUGAGAAGACCACUAAAGAGAGACACCAAGAAUGGAUUCAGCAGAGUCAUUUCACAUUUUGAACAGCAGCAAUUUGAAGGGCCAAAGCCUUGAUCAGGGAUCAGUCAUUAAAGGACACACUUCAGUAUUAGUAAACCCUCUUAUGAUGAUUAAAAGAGAAGGGCAGCCCUCUCCACCGUUUGGUACUUUCUAUUCAACUUCCACUGACCAUAAAAUGUUUCUCUUCAGAGCAAGCCCCAUCAUUUGGUGAACCUCCACCCCAACGAAGUAGGAUGGGGUGGGGGGUUAAAUUAAUAGGAGUGGGGUGUGGAGAGAGCCAGAAAACACAGAUCAGGGGCAGCAGUGCUGGGUGGAAUUGUCUAGGCUAUGGCAUGCUGGCUUUCUCUCUCUUUCUUUUCUCCUUUGAUUAUGUAAGAGCUGUUUCAUUUUAACUUAUUAUGGUGAUUACACAGGCAAGAAGACAAGAAGGAGAGAAAAUGUACCUCUUCUACUGGAAUAAUGUUUAUGAUUACAAGUGAGAUACUAUAUUUUUAUCAAUAUGAAGGCAACCUUGGCUGAUAUAACCUCUAUACUGAAUACUCACAUCUUUACUUCACUCACUAUCAAUAAUAAAUAUAUUUUCUGACAAAAAAAAAAAAAAAAAAGAAAAGAGGGCUGCGAAGCUGAAGGAAAAAUAUGAAAAGGAUAUUGCUGCAUAUCGAGCUAAAGGAAAG